GAUUGACUACUUCUUUUUGUGGUAUCCUUUCUUCUGCUUAGUUGGCUUCAGAUGGAAAGCUACAAGGAAGGAACAUUUCAAGUUUAUGGAACUUGCUUUAGAAUAGAUAUACAAGCAAUUGAUGAAGAGAAACAGGCAUCCCUUCGGUGGGAGGUGCAUCAUGGGAUAGAGCGCAAGUAAGAGGAUUUUGAUUUAGGCUUUGUCUUAAAGGUGCAGAAUCCGUUGUGUUAGCUCUUCCCCUCAACAACAAGUUCAACAUUUCAGUCUUUUGAGACAAUCUACUAUUGGCUCUCAACAUAUCAUAGGAA